GACGAACGCUGGCGGCGUGCCUAACACAUGCAAGUCAAAGGGAAGCAACUUCGGUUGUAAGUACUUGGCGCAAGGGUGAGUAAUGUAUAGGUAAUCUGCCCUUUGGACUGGGAUAACCCCGAGAAAUCGGGGACAAUACCAGAUGAUGCAGCGGGACCGCAUGGUACUGUUGUUAAAGAUUUAUCGCCGAAGGAUUGGCCCGCGUCUGAUUAGCUAGUUGGUGAGGUAACGGCCCACCAAGGCGACGAUCAGUAGCUGGUCUGAGAGGAUGAUCAGCCACAUUGGGACUGAGACACGGCCCAAACUCCUACGGGUGGCAG
rnacentral:rRNA from 1 species